CCUACGGGGGGCAGCAGUGAGGAAUAUUGGUCAAUGGACGCGAGUCUGAACCAGCCAAGUAGCGUGAAGGAUGACUGCCCUAUGGGUUGUAAACUUCUUUUAUAAAGGAAUAAAACGAGGCACGUGUGCCUUUUUGCAUGUACUUUAUGAAUAAGGAUCGGCUAACUCCGUGCCAGCAGCCGCGGUAAUACGGAGGAUCCGAGCGUUAUCCGGAUUUAUUGGGUUUAAAGGGAGCGUAGAUGGGUUGUUAAGUCAGUUGUGAAAGUUUGCGGCUCAACCGUAAAAUUGCAAUUGAUACUGGCAGUCGUGAGUACAGUUGAGGGAGGCGGAAUUCGUGGUGUAGCGGUGAAAUGCUUAGAUAUCACGAAGAACCCCGAUUGCGAAGGCAGCUUACUAAACUGUGACUGACAUUGAUGCUCGAAAGUGUGGGUAUCAAACAGGAUUAGAUACCCCUGUAGUC
rnacentral:rRNA from 1 species